rnacentral:tRNA from 1 species
GGGGUUGUGGCUCAGUGGUAGAGCGCUUGCCUAGGAUAUAAGGCACUGGGUUCAAUCCUCAGCACCA